rnacentral:rRNA from 1 species
GAUGAACGCUGGCGGCGUGCCUAAUACAUGCAAGUAGAACGCUGAAGGAGGAGCUUGCUCUUCUGGAUGAGUUGCGAACGGGUGAGUAACGCGUAGAUAACCUGCCUGGUAGCGGGGGAUAACUAUUGGAAACGAUAGCUAAUACCGCAUGACAACAGUUAUUGCAUGAUAACUGUUUAAAAGGGGCAACUGCUCCACUACCAGAUGGCCCUGCGUUGUAUUAGCUAGUUGGUGAGGUAACGGCUCACCAAGGCGACGAUACAUAGCCGACCUGAGAGGGUGAUCGGCCACACUGGGACUGAGACACGGCCCAGACUCCUACGGGAGGCAGCAGUAGGGAAUCUUCGGCAAUGGACGGAAGUCUGACCGAGCAACGCCGCGUGAGUGAAGAAGGUUUUCGGAUCGUAAAGCUCUGUUGUAAGAGAAGAACGAGUGUGAGAGUGGAAAGUUCACACUGUGACGGUAUCUUACCAGAAAGGGACGGCUAACUACGUG